GCGGGCGGGACGUGGCGUGGGUCCAGGCCCUGACCCGCCGCCACCGAGACUCCCAACGCCACCAAAUAUCGGAGCUGCGGUUUCUUUAACUGUCAAAUGCAGACAGAUACUACCCACCUCGCCUUUGGAGUGAGCAGCAGCCCUGUGCCCAUCCCGCUAUGCUUCAGGAGUCUUAUAGAAGAUAUCAGAACGCCAUUUCCUGAGUCCCAGUCUGCGUCUUCUAGAAAAGACUGUCCCUCUUCACCCAAGCCCACUGGCUGCUGAGACACAUCAUCCAGACCCAGUGCAGCUGGACCUGGCCCAGGUAAGCCAGGCUUCCUAGGGUCCCACCCCAAGCUUGGAGGGCUGGGUGGGAAGCUGGACCCAGGCAGCCCCACCCCCUCCAAGCUUCCCCAGAUGUGGGUAUAGAGAUUACAAAGCCUUCAGCUUCCUCAGAGGACAUGCCCUUCCUCUUCUGCCCUGUGGGCAGACUGGACUUCUCUAGCAGCUGCAUGAGAUUGCAAGAUUGUUAUUUGAGCUGUCCUUUUGAUCCAAGUGACAGCCUGCUUAUAUUCUGAAGAGGGGACUCACCGAGGAGAGAAGGAUUGGCUCCUCUCUGUGGCUUCACGUCUCCCCUCUCAGUCCUUCCACAAAGUUAUCCACAAAGAUAUUCUGGUUGCCUCUGGUUUAUGUGCAUAGCAAGGGGCUUGCACAGAGCUGGUUAGCCUGCCGGCCUGGGCCAGACAAGCACAUUUGGUUGGUUGGGUUGCUUAUUAAAAAGGUGUCACUUCCAGCCACCUUCUGUAUUGUCUCAAGGUCUUGCAUACAUGCUCUGUUUCUAGUCAUUUUACUGUGUCUUCAACAACUUCCCUCACAACAUAUUACCUUAACAUUAACUAGCAGGCGCCACUUUGGGAGAAUGUGUUUCUUCUCUCUGUUCCCUGCCCACAAGGAAAGAGAAGCAGCACGUUUUUGUUGUGUUGUUGUUGUUCUUUUUGAGACUGUGUCUCACUCUGUCCCCUGAGCUGGAGUGCAGUGGCAUGAUCUCGGCUCACUGCAACCUUUACCUCCCCAGUUCAAGUGAUUCUCCUGCCUCAGCCUCCCAAAUAGCUGGGAUUACAGGCACCUGCCACCAUGACCAGCUAAGUUUUGUAGUUUUAGUAGAAUCAGGGUGUUGCCAUGUAGGCCAGGUUGCUCUCGUACUCCUGACCUCAGGUGAUGCACCCACCUCAGCCUCGCAAAGUGCUGGGAUUAUAGGUAUGAGCCACUGCCCCCGGCCAAAAAGUAGCAUGUUUAAUAGCACAAAUGACUAAAUGAGUAACAGGGCCACUCAUAGGUGGCUUGAGUGUGGAGUACUGGCAAGGAAGGAUGUCGGAGAAGAGGCUGGAGACCCAGCAUGGGCCAAAUCAUGCCAGCAGCUACCGCUGGAAGCCAUUGUCCCUCUCAUUCUGUAGCAGGGACUGCCUCUAGCAAGACGUGGAGGCUGGGCUAGAGAAUGGAGAAAAGGAGCAGGUAGACCUGGUGGAAAAGAGUGACAAUUCUUCUGGCCCCACCAAGCCUUUUUAAUCCCAAAUCUUUUCUUCCAAGCCACCCCUGCCUUUACAAAUCUCAAGGGUUCUAAGAGGCAUGUAUUCAUUCCCGAGCCACUUCUAUUCUCUCUCUCUCUUACACAUACACACACACACACGCGCGCGCGCAAGCACGCGACACCGAAGGGUGGUUACAAAGCUUUAAAAAGUAAGACAAUGUUAGAAGGAAAGCCCUUUGGAAAGCACAAGGAGUUCUCUUUCUGCUUGCCUUCAGUGCUCUUCGCAUUCUACGAGGGGAAAUCCUCACCCGGAAAACCUUGUUCACACUGGCACAGGUCCCAGGGUGUGAGCCCCGUGGAGGCUGGGUCUCUCUGUUUCCAUUUCCCUUGUUGACGUCCAGUGCGAUUGUUGUUAGCUCACAGAUGGACAGGCAGUUCUCCAUGACUUGCCAGCUGCCAGGCUGAUUCCGCUUUGGUUCCCUAGGAGAACAAGCCUGAUAUCAAGGAUUCAGAGGGGGCCAAGGGGCUCGGGUGUCCAGAUGGAGUCAGACAAGGGCUUAUGUUUAGGCUGCAGCUUCAAGAUAACCUGACACUUCUAUGAGGCUUCCCAGCAAGAGAGAAGUUGGUGAGGUGACCUGGGAGUUAGGAAAGAAGGAGCAACAGGGGAGGAGAGGGAGUCCCAGGAAGAGAGACGGAGCUUCAGCUUCGCAAAGGCACAGAGGUGUGAGCAAGCAGGACGGUUUGCAGUUUGUGACUGCUGCUCCCCUGAACACAGCUUCCCUGUUAAUUAGUUGCAUUUUUGCUUUGAUCACUUCUCCCCAGCUGCCCCAUCCCCAUCAAGUACAGGUUCCGUGCAGAUUCUACCGUCCUGUAGGUCUCUACUGUCCAUCUCCUCUUCUCUAUCCCUACGGCCAUUGUCUGGGACACAUGGUUCUUCCAGCCUAGACUAAUUAGAACAGAACAGUUUUCUAACCGAUCUCCUUGCCUCUAGUUUCUCCUGCCUUCCAAUCCAUCCACCUCAUAGCUGCCAAAAUAAUCUUUCUGACAUACAAAUCUGAACGUGCUGUGUUCCUUUUCUGCUCAAAUUCUUCAAAGUCAAGUGGUCCCAUGACCUCUGGGACCACUUCUGUAGCUUAGGACUCAGAACCUCCAUUAUCUGAUCCCAUUGUCUUUCACUCCUGCCUAAUUUCCCAACAAAACCUACACAAACCCUGGGUUAUUGCCGCACUAAAUAUCAGUUCCCCCAAAUGAGGCAUACAGUUUAAUGCUGUCUGUCGCUCUUCCUUUUACCUGGAAUUUCCUCCACCCCAUCUUUCUGGCUACCUCCUACUCCUUCUUCAGAACCCAGCUAAGGAGUCAAACCCUCUAGAAAUGUUUUUCUGAUCCCUUCUCUGCUCUCAGAGCCCACUGUACAUGUAUCUCUAGCACUGAGGUUCUUAGGGCUAGAAUUCAGGAGCUUUGUGAAUUUGUAUGGGGAAAGAAAUGCUCACUAACCUGUACCUAAAAUUAAUGUAACAUUUCCUUCAAUUAUGAAUGUAGGCUUAAAUCACACUAACAUCAAUGUUUCCUGUAAUUUAUCACUAAUAGAAAUCAUAGUUAUUUUUAUAUCACUUUACAGUUUUUACAGGUUAUCUAAAAAUUUUACCUAUGAUUAUCAAUAUUUUGAAACUAAAAUAGUUAAUAGACCUGUAGAUCUGAUUACUCAGAGUGUACAAAUAUGAAACCACAUACAUUAUUACCAGUUUUUUUUGUUAACUUUUGAAAAAUCAUUGCUUUCUUUGCUAUUUAUGUAUUUAAUUUUAUGCAUUUUAAAAUGUUAUUCUGAGAAGAGGCCCAGGGCACCACCAGAGUGUCCAAGGGCUUCCCAGCAUGAAUGGCGGCACCUUCUCUGGUAUAAUCUUACAGCCCCACUGUUAACUGUUGGUUUAUCUUGUCCUCCUCUAUUAAUACAGUGCGUACAUCUUGAACGAAGGGGGCCCUUCUUUUACCUGCAAGACAGUGCCAUGCAUGGCACUUAGCAUAUUCCUAGAAAUAUUUUUUGAAAUAAAUACAUGCGGACAAAAAGGAAGAAAAGAAAGGAAGGAAGAAGGGAAAGAGGGAGAAAAUUUGAUCUUCAAAGGCCAUCUGCUCUUCCCUCUGCCUUGGACACUCUACUCCCAGCUGUCUCUGUGACUAGCUAUCCUGCCUCCUCUGUGCCUCUGCUCUAAUGUGAUCUUCUCAGGGGGACCAUCCAUAGCACUGUAUUUGAAAUUACAGUUCCACCCCACAGGCAUGCUCUGUCCCCCUUCCCUGCUCUGUCUUCUUAACACUUAGCACCAUCAGACACACCAUGUGUUUCUGACUUUUUAUUUAUUAACUCCUUGCCUCGCCUCACUAGAAUGUAACCUUCAUAAGGGCAGGGGCCUUUACCAAUUCAUUCUUGUCUGUAUCCCUAGCACCUUAAAUAACACUCAACAGAUAAUAAGCAUUAAGUAACUUGAAUGGGUCAAUGGAAGCAAGCAAGUGGUGAAGGCCCAUCAGUGGGCAUGAGCCCCAUUCUGUUGGGAGAGAUUGAAGGCUGCCAGGGUCAGUGGAAGAGCCAACUGGCAAUGGGUGAGUGGUGGGAAGAGGUUUGGGUUGUUUGGAUUGGGCAUGGACAGAAGGAUCUGGCACCAUGGCUGGGGAGUUGGGCCCUGUGGCACAGUGCCUAUAUUCAGAGGAGAAAUGACAGAGUCCCAGGAAGGCUGAUUGACCUGGGAGCAGGACUGGGGAACAGUAUGGAGGCUCACAGGUAACACGUCUAAUCUCAAGGCCAUUGCUGUUGGAUCAAGAGCCCAGAUUUGGGAAACUCCUGCCACCCUAUUUUCCUCAGUGUCUGGGAAAACCAAAGCCUGUUCAACUGUGAGACCUGACAGCUCCAAGAGCUCAGAAAGAUUCAGGAAUCACAAUGAGUAUGGCCCCUGGAUUCCUCCUCUGCCACAAUGCUUAGUCAUUGAGGUGGUGGUGGUCCGUCCUCCACUAGGCAGUGAGCUUUCUGAUGACAGCACUACCUCACAGUCUUCACUUGUUAGUAGUACAAGGCAGGUCUGACAGGCUAUUUAUUGUUGGAAAAGUUGUGAUUAGAAAAUCACAAAUGUGAUAUUGAUCAUUCGAUUGAAUCAUGGGGAGAGUAAUGAACUUCAAGCUCCUACGGUAACCAGGUACUGUACUGGCUAUCUGGGCCACAUAGCUGAGUCAACUGGGGUCCCUCAUCUCCAGGAGCUUGUGGCAGAGGGGGAGCAAUGGGCAAUAACAACACAGUGUGCCAAGGUUGAGGGGCCACAAUUAGGAAACUGCCUCCCCCAAAUCUUCUGGUACUUACCAACCUAAGUUACAUUAUUAUUUAAUUACUUGUACUCUGUCCUCCCAUAAGACAUAAGCAAUGAGAAAAGCUUUGUCUUGUUCACUGCUCUCCUCCUAGCACAUAGUAGAUGCUCACUUAGCUUGAGGAAGCACAGAAAGUUGCAGGUACCUAGCUCAGUCCAGGGUUGGGAGACUCAGAAAACUUCCAGCAAGAAGAGGCCUUGACCAAGAACACAGCAUUCCAAAGCUCACGUCCUUCAGCAUUCCUUAUUUAAUGACUUCUUCGCAAUUCAGCAAAGUCACACCCAUUUUAUGAAUGAAGAAACAAAUCUCAGAGACAGGAAAAAGCUUGGUAAAGGCCACUCAGCUGGCAGAGCAGGGCCCACAUCUCCUGCUGAAAGUCUGAGCCUUCUCCAUACUAUUCUACCUCCUGCUGACACAUGAAGAAGACUCCUUGUGGCAAAGGGUGACCUGCUGUCCAUGCAGCUUCUGAGAAGGAAAAGAAAUACAAGUUUGGCAAAGAUGGCAGUGCCGUUCCCUGCAGUGUCCCCGUUCUGCUCUAUUGAAUAAG